rnacentral:tRNA from 1 species
GGGGCCGUAGCCUAGCUCGGUAUGGCGACGGGCUCCAGACCCGUAGAGUGAAUAACCAAAACUGAAUGGAGUUCACGCGACAGUCAGGAGUUCAAAUCUCCUCGGCCCCA